AUGCUGAAACUGCAGCCUUAUGUGCAAUGCUCCGUGGUCUCGCGCCCAUGCGCCAAGCUCGCCUACAAGUUCUUCGGCCCCUACACCGUGCUUGAGAAGAUUGGACCUCUGGCUUACAAGCUGGAUCUGCCGCCGGACAGCCGCGUGCACCCGGUCUUCCACGUCUCCCAGCUGAAGCCGUUCAUGCCGGACUACUCACCGAUUUUCGCCGAGCUUCCCCGAGUCCAAGACCUGUCUGCGUCGACGACCGAGCCCGUUAAGAUCCUGGAGAGGCGUAUGAUGAAGCAUGGCGAUGCCCCCGUGGUGCAGCUCAAGAUACAAUGGUCGUCGUCGUCCCCGGACUGGGUCACCUAGGAGGACUACGACGUGCUACGCCGGCGUUUUCCCAUGGCACCCAUUUGGGAGGGGGAGGCCUCGUCUUAA
rnacentral:rRNA from 1 species